UGUCAACAUACGACUUUAUCUUCUUGCCACGUGAUGCAAAAACCGAUUUCAUCAGUUAGAAAUCAAAAACAAUUUGAUCAGGCAUGGCCCUAAUUCCUUCCUAACGAAAUCUCACCCUGAAACAAACUCUAGAAUUCAAUUUGGGAAAAUUACUUCUCUUCCAAAUUUCAAAAUCACCACAUCAGAUGAUUUCCAAUCUCUAAUUUCCCAUCCUUUAAUCAUCCCUCAUCAUCCCAUAACGUGAACCCCCAAAACGCAAAGGAGAAAAUCAACGAAACCCAACCACUUCCGUGCACAGUGAAGAUUAAUAUCAGAUUGAGGGCUAUUAUAUUAUAUAUGUGAAGAGUUUCAGAUUGAAGGAUGUUUGUUAUAUAUAUGAAGUUUUUACAUAUGAACACAUUUUGGUGAUGAAUUUAUAAUUGGUUUUUGUUAGCAUCUCUAUAUUAUUAUCUAUUUAUUGAAUCAACUAUCGAUGUUGAACACAGUCCAAGUCCAUUGUGAAGGUCAGAUGUAUUCAGAUGUAUUCAGCAACCGCAACUGUAUCGUGGAAGCAGGAUAUAAUAUGUAAUAUUUUUGGAUUACUUUCAUUUGACAUAGUAUGGUUACUUUUGGAUCCUGGUUAAUCUCUAUAAGCCUUUAUACUCCGAAUAAGCCGAGCUAGAGAGAAAAAGAAACAGAAAGUGGGAGUAUUUUGAGGAAGCUAGAAUGAAAGUGCAAGUCCAAACCAAGGCACACACAGCUAACGAGAAAUCAAUGGCAUUUAAAAGAACCUUGAGAUGCCAUUAUUGAAGCAAAUUUGUUGUGUCUGGAUCAGAAACUAAAUACUUGAUACAAGCUGAGACGGAUGGCCUGCUUAAUGCCAUUUUUUUGUUCCUUGAAGAACUGAAGUUUGCAGAACCAACUAGACGUUCUGCAUUACUUAUUUUUGAUAAAUGAUAGUAGUUUUUAAUAAUCGAGUUGUAGUAUAGGCAAGUCUUCUAGUUAUAGUUGAAAAACCAUUGGUUUUUCUGUAAUGUUAUGUAUUUCAGCAUGGUGCAAUAGUAUUGUUGAAAAACCAUUUCUAGGAUCU
rnacentral:lncRNA from 1 species